GACGAACGCUGGCGGCGUGCUUAACACAUGCAAGUCGAACGGAAAGGCCUGCUUUCCCUUGUGGAUUGCGGGUACUCGAGUGGCGAACGGGUGAGUAACACGUGAGUGAUCUGCCCCCAACUUGGGUAUAAGCCUGGGAAACUGGGUCUAAUUCCCGAUAGGACUGCAGGGUGGUGCCUGUGGUGGAAAACGAUUUUCUAGUGGUUGGGGAUGAGCUCACGGCCUAUCAGCUUGUUGGUGGGGUAAUGGCCUACCAAGGCGGCGACGGGUAGCCGGCCUGGGAGGGUGGACGGCCACAUUGGGACUGAGAUACGGCCCAGACUCCUACGGGAGGCAGCAGUGGGGAAUAUUGCACAAUGGGCGGAAGCCUGAUGCAGCGACGCCGCGUGGGGGAUGACGGCCUUCGGGUUGUAAACUCCUUUCGACCGCGAGGAAGCCACCUGGUUGGAAGGGUGGUGACGGUAGUGGUAGAAGAAGCACCGGCUAACUACGUG
rnacentral:rRNA from 1 species